rnacentral:rRNA from 1 species
CCUACGGGUGGCAGCAGUGGGGAAUAUUGGACAAUGGGGGGAACCCUGAUCCAGCCAUGCCGCGUGUGUGAAGAAGGCCCUCGGGUUGUAAAGCACUUUCAGUGAGGAAGAACGCCUGGUGGUUAAUACCCAUCAGGAAAGACAUCACUCACAGAAGAAGCACCGGCUAACUCCGUGCCAGCAGCCGCGGUAAUACGGAGGGUGCGAGCGUUAAUCGGAAUUACUGGGCGUAAAGCGCGCGUAGGUGGCUUGAUAAGCCGGUUGUGAAAGCCCCGGGCUCAACCUGGGAACGGCAUCCGGAACUGUCAAGCUAGAGUGCAGGAGAGGAAGGUAGAAUUCCCGGUGUAGCGGUGAAAUGCGUAGAGAUCGGGAGGAAUACCAGUGGCGAAGGCGGCCUUCUGGACUGACACUGCCACUGAGGUGCGAAAGCGUGGGUAGCAAACAGGAUUAGAUACCCCGGUAGUC